rnacentral:lncRNA from 1 species
CCCUUCAUGGCUAAAAUAGCCAUGUCCUCAUUGAGGUCUCGAACCUCAAGUGUUGCUGUAUUGAAACACGCCACAAAAUCUUUAAAUUUUUCUCCCUCUUGCCAUUUGAGGGAGAUGUCGAAUAUUCAUGGCGUCUUUGUACUGGUGCUGAAGUGGGCCACAAACGAAUGUUCCAGCUGCUCGAAGGAAUGGAUGCUUUCUGACUGGAGCCCAGAAUACCAAACUCGAGCAGCUUUCCGGAUGGUAGUCGAGAAAUCAAGACAUAAGAGGGCGUCGGUCACCCCUUGGAUCAUCAUGAGAGCCUUGUAGCUCUCCAAAUGGACAACAGGAUCGAUGGAGCCGUCACAAGGCUCCAUCUAUGGCAUCUUGAAUUUAGUCAGGAUCAGCUUGUCCAAGAUGCAUCGAGAAAAGGGUGUAGUAUGGAUGCCAAAGUCGCUGGAGGACCCUCGACCAUCUACUUGGAGCUGGUUGAAUCAAUGAUCGAUGUCUCUGAGCUUGCGCUCAUAGUCGUCGAGUCACCAUUGGUGUGAGAAUGCAAGGGUAGAAUCUCCUAAAGAACUUAAAGAUGAAGAAUAUGAAGGUAAGCGCGGUCUCUUCCCCUUCUUGUUACUAUGGCGGUGAGAGAAAGAAGGAGAUUGUCACUAUUAGUGGGUGGCACGAUGAGAGCGCCAGGAUAGUGGUGGCUCGACAUGAUGGGAAUGUCGAGUCGGUCGUCGAUCCAAAGACGAAGAAGGAGAUCGUCGUGAAGCACGAUGACUGUGCCUAGAUUGCACCAUAUGCGGUGCCGGCUCCUCCGUCGCCGGUUGCUGCUAUUGUUGUUGCUGUGCUUGCUGUUGCUGGAGACUGUGCACUGUCUCCGUCAGUGUUUUCACCUGCUGCAUUAAAGCAACAAAUUGUUGAGCAUCUGCGGUGACGACCGGAUGCGAAGAACUGGACUCUAUUGGUAGAGAUGGGGGAUCUUUCCGAACGAAAGAUUGUCAGGCGAAGCUAAUGAAAACAUUCCGGGCUCUUAUUUUUGCCAUGAUGAUUGGAUCUUUCAAUCUCCCUUCCUGACAUGCCAAUCUGUCGCGGCCAAUUCCCGAGUGCGCCUAAAUCUGGUGAAGAACGAUCUGUAAAGCAAGCUCACUGGCCAGAGUUGUGUUCGACAGGAACCUUUCGAUGUCUAAGUCAGUAGAGAGUAGUGAACAGUAGAAUUGAAAGUAGAUUUCGAUAGAGUUUAGCCCAGUAAAAAGCCUCUUACUAUUGCUUACCUCUUUUUUAUAGAUAUUUCGAAUAUAACUAUAGGACACGUGGAGUCCUGCUUAUCGUGGCACAAAAAGAUAGCUAACCCCUAUUAUUGGGCCAUAAUCAUGGGAUUAGUCGGCAGUUUAUGCCCACUAACAGUCGUGGUGUAGAGUCGUUGCCCACAAUUGUAGCAUUAUAGUUAUAGAUCCAGAUGCCAACUGGAUGUCGGUGAUUUUGAUGUACUGACUGUAUAUCGGUGCUUUCAAUAUACCGACUGACCACUAAUCGGUGAUUCUGACAUACCACCUGAUCAUCGGUUAUAUAAUCGACCAAGUUGUUAAGAUUUAUUGCUUUUUGAAAAGUCGAUCGAGAGUUAUCGAUAGUCGGUCGGCUUACCAAUUGAUAGUCGGCCAUCCAUGUUCCAUGACGCCAAUAGAGUAUCGAGUGAUGAACCAUGUAGACACCAUAGUUGAACUGGUAACACCUUUGGCGGUCCCGUUUUGAUGGUCCAUCAUCUGUUGCCAACACUGAGUCAGGUUGACCGACCACAAGGCGGGGAGCCAGCAUUGAAUCUGGGGAGCAAGUCCGAUUGCCCUAACAUUGUUAUAUAAGGGAAACCUCGCGGAUCACCUUCGAAGUGAUCCGUAAUAAAAAAAUAUUUUACAUCUGACAACCCACAAAUAAUAAGAUCGAGAACAACAAGAAGACAUCACCAAUACCAAUCCAUUUGUGCUAAAAUUAAAAAAAAAAAAAGCUUUUCCUUUUAUCACAGGUAAUAGAAAACAGAGAAAUCCGACGCACUCGAAUCUAUAAAUACAUGGAUGAAAAGCAAAUACGACACCGAUUGAUGCAAUGGUUAAACAAAAAGAGAUCUUUGUGGAAGCCAUCAAAAGCCAAUCUCGAGAAAUCAAUCAUCGGAUAAAGAAACAGAUCAGCGGUUAAUAAGGAGGGAAUAAAAAUGGAAGAAGAGGGAUAAAGAGAGGGCAUACGAGUAGGUGCCGACAAGGGGGGCGAGCAAGAGGGUAGCGCUGAUCCAGUUCUCGGAGACCUUGUGGUGGAUCUUCCCGGGGAGAUCCUUCCACAGCCCUGGCAUCACCUUCUGCUGGAACGGCGAC